CCCUCAGCCGCCAGGCGCUCCUUCCUCUGCCACAGCUGGUUUAGGAGCAGUGACCCAGAGCAGGGAAGGGCUCUCCUGCCCCCUCUCAGUUGGCACAGGAGGUGAGAAGGUGGAACAUGAGAUGCGGAACACAGGGAACAGCUUUUCAAGGAAGCUCAGAACCACUCAGACCUAGCUUGCAGGCAGUUUCUCUGGAGCCAAGGAGUUCAGAGUUCAUGAAUAAAUGAAGAGGGAGGAAGCGGGAAGGGAUGUUUAUUGAUCCACAAAUCUCUACGUGCCAGCGACUGCCCCACAAAUGCUUGGGCGUGCAGCUGUGUGCAGUUUUGAAUCCACACACAUAAACACAUCCACAGCCCCAACGUCUCUCCAAAGAUGCCUCGUUCCUGAAGAACCCACCAAAUGUUCAGGGCCAAGUGGCAGGAAGCUCACCCACAUCUCCAUGCUGGAGGGAGAGCAGGUGGGGAAGAGCAGGGGCUCCGGACUUGACCUGCUCUGCCACUCACCAGCUUUGAGGCCCCGCGCAAGGCCCACCCUGGAGCCGCUUGCGCCUCAGUCACUUCAUCUGCUGAACGGGAAUGACAGACUUGGCGUCACGAACCUUCAGCGGGGCAUGUAAUGGCCUUAGCCGAGUGUCCGCGCGCAGCAAGCAUUUGAGAGAAGCGACUACAGCGAUGACAGCUGACCAUGUUGGCCAGAUUUUAUCAUCAUUCUCAAAUCCUUUCCUUAUGAUCAUCAUCUGAGGCCUAGACUGUAUCUUCGGUUUCCUUGACUUCAAAUCACUUCAUCCUUCUGAGACCCACUCUGCCAUCACCAGUAAAUGGGUAUGAGAAAACGGAAUCUCAGUAAAGAGG